UACAGAGGGUGCAAACGUUGUUCGGAAUUACUGGGCGUAAAGCGAGUGUAGGCGGUCUUAUAAGUCGGAUGUGAAAGCCCUGGGCUCAACCCAGGAAGUGCAUUCGAAACUGUGAGACUCGAGUAUCGGAGAGGUUGGUGGAAUUCUCGGUGUAGAGGUGAAAUUCGUAGAUAUCGAGAGGAACACCGGUGGCGAAGGCGGCCAACUGGACGAAUACUGACGCUGAGACUCGAAAGCGUGGGGAGCAAACAGG
rnacentral:rRNA from 1 species